rnacentral:rRNA from 1 species
AAGCUCGUAGUUGAAUUUCGGUUAAUAAGAAAUUUACGGUCCACUUUUCGAAGUGUGAACUAAAAUCUUAUUUCCUUCCUUCUAGAUUUACUCCUUUUACUAUUCGUAGUAUUGGGAUAAAAGUAAUCUAGAUCUUUUACUGUGAAGAAAUUAGAGUGUCCAAAGCAGGCGUAACCUAGCCUUUGAAUAUAUUAGCAUGGGAUAAUGAAAUAGGACUUGAGUUCUACUUUCGUUGGUUUCUAGGGCUUAAGUAAUGAUUAAUAGGGAUAGUUGGG